CAGUCGAGCGGAUCGAUGGGAGCUUGCUCCCUGAGAUCAGCGGCGGACGGGUGAGUAACACGUGGGUAACCUGCCUGUAAGACUGGGAUAACUCCGGGAAACCGGGGCUAAUACCGGAUAACACCUACCCCCGCAUGGGGGAAGGUUGAAAGGUGGCUUCGGCUAUCACUUACAGAUGGACCCGCGGCGCAUUAGCUAGUUGGUGAGGUAAUGGCUCACCAAGGCGACGAUGCGUAGCCGACCUGAGAGGGUGAUCGGCCACACUGGGACUGAGACACGGCCCAGACUCCUACGGGAGGCAGCAGUAGGGAAUCUUCCGCAAUGGACGAAAGUCUGACGGAGCAACGCCGCGUGAGUGAAGAAGGUUUUCGGAUCGUAAAACUCUGUUGUUAGGGAAGAACAAGUGCCGUUCGAAUAGGGCGGCGCCUUGACGGUACCUAACCAGAAAGCCACGGCUAACUACGUGCCAGCAGCCGCGGUAAUACGUAGGUGGCAAGCGUUGUCCGGAAUUAUUGGGCGUAAAGCGCGCGCAGGUGGUUUCUUAAGUCUGAUGUGAAAGCCCACGGCUCAACCGUGGAGGGUCAUUGGAAACUGGGGAACUUGAGUGCAGAAGAGGAAAGUGGAAUUCCAAGUGUAGCGGUGAAAUGCGUAGAUAUUUGGAGGAACACCAGUGGCGAAGGCGACUUUCUGGUCUGUAACUGACACUGAGGCGCG
rnacentral:rRNA from 2 species